rnacentral:rRNA from 1 species
GGGGAAUAUUGCACAACGGGGGAAACCCUGAUGCAGCCAUGCCGCGUGUGUGAAGAAGGCCUUCGGGUUGUAAAGCACUUUCAGUAGGGAGGAAGGGUUGAUGUCUAAUACGCAUCAACAUUGACGUUACCUACAGAAGAAGCACCGGCUAACUCCGUGCCAGCAGCCGCGGUAAUACGGAGGGUGCAAGCGUUAAUCGGAAUAACUGGGCGUAAAGCGCACGCAGGCGGUUGGAUAAGUCAGAUGUGAAAUCCCCGGGCUCAACCAGGGAACUGCAUUUGAAACUGUCCGACUAGAGUCUUGUAGAGGGGGGUAGAAUUCCAGGUGUAGCGGUGAAAUGCGUAGAGAUCUGGAGGAGUACCGGUGGCGAAGGCGGCCCCCUGGACAAAGACUGACGCUCAGGUGCGAAAGCGUGGGGAGCAAAC